GCUCAGAUUGAACGCUGGCGGCAGGCCUAACACAUGCAAGUCGAACGGUAACAGGAAGCAGCUUGCUGCUUUGCUGACGAGUGGCGGACGGGUGAGUAAUGUCUGGGAAACUGCCUGAUGGAGGGGGAUAACUACUGGAAACGGUGGCUAAUACCGCAUAACGUCGCAAGACCAAAGAGGGGGACCUUCGGGCCUCUUGCCAUCAGAUGUGCCCAGAUGGGAUUAGCUUGUUGGUGAGGUAACGGCUCACCAAGGCGACGAUCCCUAGCUGGUCUGAGAGGAUGACCAGCCACACUGGAACUGAGACACGGUCCAGACUCCUACGGGAGGCAGCAGUGGGGAAUAUUGCACAAUGGGCGCAAGCCUGAUGCAGCCAUGCCGCGUGUAUGAAGAAGGCCUUCGGGUUGUAAAGUACUUUCAGCGGGGAGGAAGGUGUUGUGGUUAAUAACCGCAGCAAUUGACGUUACCCGCAGAAGAAGCACCGGCUAACUCCGUGCCAGCAGCCGCGGUAAUACGGAGGGUGCAAGCGUUAAUCGGAAUUACUGGGCGUAAAGCGCACGCAGGCGGUCUGUCAAGUCGGAUGUGAAAUCCCCGGGCUCAACCUGGGAACUGCAUUCGAAACUGGCAGGCUUGAGUCUUGUAGAGGGGGGUAGAAUUCCAGGUGUAGCGGUGAAAUGCGUAGAGAUCUGGAGGAAUACCGGUGGCGAAGGCGGCCCCCUGGACAAAGACUGACGCUCAGGUGCGAAAGCGUGGGGAGCAAACAGGAUUAGAUACCCUGGUAGUCCACGCCGUAAACGAUGUCUACUUGGAGGUUGUGCCCUUGAGGCGUGGCUUCCGGAGCUAACGCGUUAAGUAGACCGCCUGGGGAGUACGGCCGCAAGGUUAAAACUCAAAUGAAUUGACGGGGGCCCGCACAAGCGGUGGAGCAUGUGGUUUAAUUCGAUGCAACGCGAAGAACCUUACCUGGUCUUGACAUCCACAGAACUUUCCAGAGAUGGAUUGGUGCCUUCGGGAACUGUGAGACAGGUGCUGCAUGGCUGUCGUCAGCUCGUGUUGUGAAAUGUUGGGUUAAGUCCCGCAACGAGCGCAACCCUUAUCCUUUGUUGCCAGCGGUCCGGCCGGGAACUCAAAGGAGACUGCCAGUGAUAAACUGGAGGAAGGUGGGGAUGACGUCAAGUCAUCAUGGCCCUUACGACCAGGGCUACACACGUGCUACAAUGGCGCAUACAAAGAGAAGCGACCUCGCGAGAGCAAGCGGACCUCAUAAAGUGCGUCGUAGUCCGGAUUGGAGUCUGCAACUCGACUCCAUGAAGUCGGAAUCGCUAGUAAUCGUGGAUCAGAAUGCCACGGUGAAUACGUUCCCGGGCCUUGUACACACCGCCCGUCACACCAUGGGAGUGGGUUGCAAAAGAAGUAGGUAGCUUAACCUUCGGGAGGGCGCUUACCACUUUGUGAUUCAUGACUGGGGUGAAGUCGUAACAAGGUAACCGUAGGGGAACCUGCGGUUGGA
rnacentral:rRNA from 1 species